rnacentral:lncRNA from 1 species
GCCUCUCUCCCUCUGCGCCGGAGCCGCCUCCCCAUCGGCCGCGUCGCCCGCCUGCCCGCGAGCUCCGCGCGCGCGCCUCCCCCUUUCCUCCUGCUCCACCCUCCACCGCGCAGCCCGCGCUCCACCACGAGCCGCCUCCACCUCGCCGGCUGCGUCCGGCCCGCGCGCAAAUCCCCGUCGCCGCGCCUCCCCUUCGCUGCGCCUCUCCACCUCGCCACGCCCGCCUGCCUCUGCUCCUCCGUCCACCCUGCCCAGCACGCCGACGUGCCUCUAGCACAUCGCCCGCAGGCCUAGCAAGCCCAUCUCCAAGCCCAAAUCCAGCAGGCCCGUGGCCUUCUUCUUUUUCUUUCUUUUCUGUUUUUUCUAAAAAUGUUUCGCUUAUGCGUGGGCCCUGUUCGUCAGCCGCCUGCUGCUUGCUGCUAUUGCCACUGGUGCUUGCUGUUUUGCUACUGUGCUGCUGCUCCGUGUGUGCCGUGUCGCUGCCCAAGUCCGUGUGAGCGCGUAAAGACCGAAGAACCUCGGAGUCGGAGCCUGGAACGACUACGACCACGACGAUUGAACGACUACUUCGCCGCGACGACUACAUCACCUACGUGAACAGCUACUUCGCCUACGACGACUACGUGUACGACUACCUCGACUACGUCCACUACUUCCUCUACGUCGUGAUGCCACACGUGUCCAAGGUAUAACGAGCGACUGUCCCGUGAACCGACCGUCCCGUGGCGUAGACUCGUAGGUUGCGAUCGAUGAUAUGCAUGUGUUGUAUGCCGUGUAUGUACCGAUAGUAUCGAUAGUUGCAGGUACCUCGUUGCCUUUGGCAUGUGCAGCCCCGACCUAGUCGGAUCCUUGUGUUGUUCUUGUUUUAAAGCAUGCAUCGCACCUAUCCAUGUAAUUGUCAUGCAUCCUAAUACAACUAUAACAUUGUUGUGUGUAUUUGAUCCAUUAAACUCUAUUCCUUGCAUAUGGAGUUGUAUAGAUGCUAUGUGUAGAGUAUUCAGACUCCAUUUAACUUGGUAAUCAUAUAUCAGAUUUACGUUCGGAUUCCUUAAUAUGACAUGCAUCAUCCCCAUGUCACGCAUCAUUCUUUGAUUGCGCAUAUCAAUUAACUUUUGUAUCUUGUAUGCUUAUACUUUUCUUUUAUGUGGUGGAUUUGCUUCUUCCUCGCUAGUCUUCGAUUCCUACGACGACGACUACACUUGUGUUCUUCUUUCAGGAUUCGUGCUCAAUUCUGGGCAAUUGAGUACUCCAGGCAAGCAGCCCUUCCUUGACCAUGUCGAUUAUACUUAUUGCUUCUCCCUCAGUCUUGCAUUAAGUUACGAUCUCAGUCUUGUCACGAUGCCUCUAGGUUGCAUAGCUUAUUAGUCAGCUCUACUUAUUGCCCUAUGUCUUGUUACUUGUCCUAUUACCAUGUCACAUGUUUGUUGUUGCCCUACAUCUUGUUCAUUAGAUGUCAUGCUUAGUGGCGAGUCUAGUGUCCUUAUAUCUGGGGUUCCACAAUUGCUACAUCCACAUGCUACUUUAUGUUUUAAAUUGCAAUUAUUAAACUGUGAUAUGAUAUUAAAUUGUAACAAGGCAACGAUGGGAGGACGUGCUCUAACGCAUUGGUGUUUUGUUCCAUUGGCGCCGACCUAAGGACUGAGUUCUCGUUUUCGCCGAUCCAAAAAACUU